GACGAACGCUGGCGGCGUGCUUAACACAUGCAAGUCGUACGGUAAGGCCCUUUCUGGGGGCCCCGGGGGGCGAAAGGCGUGGUAACCCGCGCUUAGCCUCCCCACAACUUUCGGAAAAGGCUGCUAAACUGGGGCAAUGACUGCGUAUGUACCCCUGCUCCACGUUGGGGGUUGGAAAGUUCCGUUGGUUGUGGAUGGACUCGCGGCCUAUCAGCUUGUUGGUGGGGUAGUGGCCUACCAAGGCGGCGACGGGAAGCCGGCCUGAGAGGGUGACCGGCCACAUUGGGACUGAGAGACGGCCCAGACUCCUACGGGAGGCAGCAGUGGGGAAUAUUGCACAAUGGGCGCAAGCCUGAUGCAGCAACGCCGCGUGCGGGAUGACGGCCUUCGGGUUGUAAACCGCUUUCAGCAGGGACGAAGCUUUUUGUGACGGUACCUGCAGAAGAAGCACCGGCUAACUACGUG
rnacentral:rRNA from 1 species